GACUCUUAGGGGUGGAUGACUGGGCUGUUGCGUUAAUGAAGAAUGCAGCUAGCUGUGAGAAUUAAUGUGAAUUGCAGGACACCUAGAUCAUGGAGCCUUUGAAUGCACUUGUGGUCCUGGGUUCCUCCCCAGGCUACUCCUGUCUGAGUGUGA
rnacentral:rRNA from 1 species